rnacentral:rRNA from 1 species
UUGAACGCUGGCGGCAUGCUUUACACAUGCAAGUCGAACGGUAACAGGGUGCUUGCACCGCUGACGAGUGGCGAACGGGUGAGUAAUGCAUCGGAAUGUACCGUGUAAUGGGGGAUAGCUCGGCGAAAGCCGGAUUAAUACCGCAUACGCCCUGAGGGGGAAAGUGGGGGACCGAAAGGCCUCACGUUAUACGAGCAGCCGAUGUCUGAUUAGCUAGUUGGUGAGGUAAAGGCUCACCAAGGCGUCGAUCAGUAGCGGGUCUGAGAGGAUGAUCCGCCACACUGGGACUGAGACACGGCCCAGACUCCUACGGGAGGCAGCAGUGGGGAAUUUUGGACAAUGGGCGCAAGCCUGAUCCAGCCAUGCCGCGUGUCUGAAGAAGGCCUUCGGGUUGUAAAGGACUUUUGUCCGGGAGCAAAUCCUAGUGGUUAAUAACCGCUGGGUCUGAGAGUACCGGAAGAAUAAGCACCGGCUAACUACGUG